AACUUUGCGAUGAAGGGGAAGAGUAGCUCGUCUUAGGCGAUCUUCAGAGAGGAGAUUAUGCGGUGCGAGAUUUCCGUUCGCGGAUGAGCGAAGACCACCCCUGAGCAGCUGUCGAAGCCGUCCUUUUUCGGAUAAGAUAGCGGGGAUUCGCCCCUUAUAGCGAAAAGAGUUCCGAAGCUGAAAUCUUCGGAAAUGGAGUGGAACCGCGGGAGCCCUCCUCUCGCCUCCAAU
rnacentral:ncRNA from 1 species